UCGAACACGGGGACCUCGGUGCUUCUAACCUAAUAUUAUGUUUUCCAACUUUCAAUGCAAUGGACUUUAUACAAUAUAUAUGACGAAUAUGUGUGUCAAAUUGUGUAUUAUAUAAUAUAAAUAAAGUUAAAUAAAUAAAUUGCGAGAGUAUAAAAUGUUCGGUUACACCCGAACUUAGCCCUUCCUUACUUGUUUUAUCAACAAUUCAACCCAAUAAUUACUGCUGUAUAACUCUUGCAUUCCCUUCAAAAUUAAGGAAUUUAAGCAAAUAGAUGAUGAGAAAUAUAUAGUGGGCAAUAGAGUUUUGAACUUUGAUAAUUUUUUCACGCAACCAGUCCAAUCAUUGUCAGCAUUAGGAAUAGUAAUAGCAAGUAAAGAUAUAUGUUAUGAUUUAGAAAUAUUCAAAAUAAGUGAUAUAAAUUAUAAAUAUACAGCUUUGCCUCAUGGAGAACAAAUCGUCAUGUUGCCCAUUCUUCAUAACGUCAUCUGAUGUCUUUAUUUAAGUCCUCGAUUCUGAUUUCUUUAUCGCUUCUAGCGAGUUUACCAAUAUAAAUACAACGAUUAACACUAAAUUAGAAGAAAAACUUGAUAUCAUUAUAGCCAACCAAAACAUCAUAAAGAGACAACAAGCAGAAACGUUGGCGAUGUUUAAACAGCUAUUUGAGAAAGAUGUGGGCUCCUAUGGAACGAGAAGUGUGUUCCCGUUGUCCAACUUGGAAACAUUAAAAAAACUGAAUGCAGAUAUAGUGGCAGGUUCCAGUGCAGACUAUUUUUAAAGCUUGUUGGAAAUCUUCAACAAACUCGCCAUGGGAAUAUAAUUCUUUCAUUGAUGCCUCUGAAAUCAUAAAAAAUUUAGAAAAUAUGUAUAUAUUUUUUCCUUUAAAAAAUAAAAU